UUUCAUGCUACAGGUUAGAAUCAAGAUGUCUGCAUACAUUGAAAAACUGAAUACAUCGUUCAAAACUAUUAAACAAAACUAUUACAAAAAAUAUGGUGUUUCAUUCGUCAGAACGAUCGAACUCUUUCGAUAGCUACGCAUUUUCUAGGUUAUUUGACAUGGUGUAGAUCAUGUAUAAUCAAGACACGAACUCUAAAUGUGGCGAACCUCCUAUUUAGACACUGCAGUUGACUCAUACCCAGUUAUUUCGGGCAACGGCGUGUUUUCGUCCACGCUUACACACUCGUGCGCCGGUACGUCCGGGACGCGCGUGCACACUUACUACUUACGAUAGAAACGCACGCUCACGAUUCCAUGGAUGCAACGCGUGAGUUACAUCAUACUACUGUACCAGUCACGUAAAUACAAGAGGUACAAGGAUUUUCGUAGCAUGAAAAAUCAAAAAAUCACGCUCAACAUUUUAGCAAGCUGCCAGGCGAAACGAGGUUAGGUCACAUGGCAGAUCGUUGUGUGUACUACGUAUAAAAGACACGAUGUUUCGGCUUUCUCAGCUCAUUUUUCACGCGAAGACCCGUAUAUAUACGACAGAGGCUCGUAACAUUCACGUAUAUGUAUACAUACACAUACGUUGCAAAGCUCGUCCCCGUUGCAUGUCCUGCGGUCUGUCUAUACACGCAUGUUCUUUUUUUCACGGUUUUCAAUAACUCGUUCGAGAACGACUCGUACCCCUAUUUUCUCUUCCACUCCAUUGGUCUUACGUGACAAUGUACGCAACAAAACGAUUUCCUUGAUAACGCCACUCGUGCGAGGCGACGAAAUGUACAGCUGCGGACUAUAAUAGAACUAGCAAUACGAACGACCCCUCUCGUCACUGCAUCACGCACGGGAAAAAUAAGUUUUUAUCGAUUACUAACCUACGACAACCAUCUCGCCCGGCAGCGUAGGCUUCGGCUAUAGAACACAGCGCGGAAGCUCGAUACUAAAAUCUGCCAAUAUGAAAAUUUACAACUUCCCUGCAGAAUUAUUGGAUUGGACUUCUCAUUCGACAUGAGUUAAUUACAACCCAGCAUCGUGGAAACUUUUUCUGUCAUAUUCUGCAGUUUGUAAAGCACAAACGGAAUACGGAACUACGAAUGAUUGCCGGGCUACGAGAGACUGAAAAGGAGCCGAGAUUCGAGAUUCACCCGUUCCACCCGUCUGCGCGAAAGUCAGACAAGAGCCCGAGCAAUCCGUUUGGAAGUGGGAAACGUGAACUUGAUAUCGAAGAUCGACGAGCGGUCCUGGUUUUAACGGCCCGUCCGCCAAUCGGUGGCCGUCGCCGAUUCCCUCGAACGAUGUUUUCGGCUGCCGGUUUCUACACUCCUUGGUGAUGGUAGGAUGGAUCGUGUGAACCUGGCCGGGCUACAUGGCAUAGCAUGCCGCGAUGCGGAGACUAUAGUCGCUGGCUAGACUGCACCCCCGCCAGCCGGGGAGAGAAGGUCGACGGAGAUCGUGGAACGGGGGUAGGAGCAGUGGAGACGGCAGGCUCCGGUUGUUCCCCAUAACGAAACAAGAACCGUUGCCCGGCUACUUACAACUCUUUUCAAUCAAUCCCCAUCAAAUGGAACAGCACUCGGUCAAGCCGUGCGGCUCCCCCGUUGCAUAGGUUCCCUGGAAAUUCCAUUCUAUUUGCGAGCUGUUCUCCGGGAACAAGCGUUGCCACUUGGGUUCCCGCGGAAGCGUGAAGCGUUGGGUGCUUGGCGAACGGAUGGAGGAACGGACAGACGGGUGGACAGGACAGGAUACGCAGGGACAGGUGGCCGGUUGACGAUCGUAAGUGGGCAGGAAGGAGGACAUCGGGCCCCUGACGCGCCCGGGGAACGACAGACGACCAGACAGAGAAGCCAACAAACGAUAGAAUGAGAAAGAGAGGCUACAAUUCCGUGUGUCCGUCCGAUGCGUGCAAUGCAAUUUCCCGCAGGGCCGUCUGUCUGUUUGUGCGGUCGUGCAUGCCACUUACGCCAUUGUUCCUCCCCCUUUUCGCAUACAAAAGUGAACAUUCUCGCGAUCACGAUGGAAUAUAACGCGAUCUUGUCCGGUUAGAAUCGCCCCGGGACGUACAUCGGGCCUGGGUCUCUCUACACACCCGUCAGCUUCGAUCUCUCGAUCGUCCAGAAGGAACACACUCCUGCCCGGUGAACCGAGCCUGCCUUCUUGUACACCUUGAUCGUUCCGCCAAACGAAAAUCCGACGCGACUUCCACUUUGUCGCACUACUGUGCAUUCUCUGUGACGCUCGAAUCUUUUAUGGUGUAUACCAUGGGUAUAAAUACAGUCAGUCUAACUGAAACUCCGUGGAUCGAGUCCCAUGGCGAAAUGUGAAAUCACGUACGUGCAAUCGAAACUUGGAGGAGUUUUCUAAUCGUUUAAAACA